AUGAUAUUGUGCCUGCCCAGAGAGGGUGAGGGGCUCAAAAACAGUUUCCUCUAGCUAUUAGGUAUAACUUUGACUUUUUGAACAGGAGAUAGUUUUGGGGCUCACCUUUGUUGGAUUCAAUGAGCCUGGAGCUCCUGCUGCCAAACAAACUUCGCAACACUGUCAGCAGCACAGGUUACCAAGGCAACAGCUGAUUUCAGGGAAGUCAGGAUUGGGAAUUAUCAAAACAUCGAUCUGUACGAGAAAUCCCAUCUGAGCAGGUACGUGCAGAACAAGAGAAGGCAAGGCCACCUCAGAUUUAACACAGAGCCAAAACAGUCAACGAAAGGCCGCCGGCAGUUGCCUGGCAACACUAUCCCUAUCACAGCAGGAAGUGGAGUCGAACAGAACAUUAAUCACUUUCAGCUCCAUCUCACCAGAGUCACAGUGCUCCAAAGCUUCGGUCAGACAGCGGUUUCGCACCAUGUUUAGCCACGCAGAGUCGUACCUGUGUUUCCUAGAAUUUUACUUAAGGUGCAGUGAGAAAGAGUUUGGUCAUGUUUGGUGUAUGUUUAGAGAAUUAAUGGGGUUCACACUAGUGUAUUAUAGUCUGUCUGUGUGAGCGUGUGUAGUCUAAACACUGUCUGUUUUUACUUGGAAACCUGCUGAAAGCUUCUUCAGAGGAUUUAUCCUGUGCUUAGAGAAAUUAUUUGGCACUGAAUAUCAUUAAAGCAAAUAAUGAGGGGUGUCCAUCUACAAUGCUCUGCUUUAGAUCUGUUUGUUUCACCUGCCAAAGCACAUCUUUUUAAGGCAACUCCAGCUUCCAGCAAAGCUUGUGCCUUUUCGUUCUGCUAUGGUUUGAUGUCUCAGACAGGUGGGAUCCAGCCUUGCACCAAGACAGAAAUGUGUCUCGCUAAAGCACGAAAUCCAGGUGACGCUGAAGCAACAGAAAGCCUCUCUGCUUUUUUUGAUAAACGAGUGCUUGAUGUCAUUUAUGUACGGGACACGAAUAACAUGAGGAUGCACUAAAGAAAAGGGGAUACUUAAAUAACAGGAAUGAAAUUCAGGGUGCCAAAAAAUUGAGGGUCCAUCACAAGUGUCAGUCACCGUGUGUGCGUUUUUAAA